rnacentral:rRNA from 1 species
UACGAAGGGGGCUAGCGUUGCUCGGAAUUACUGGGCGUAAAGCGCACGUAGGCGGCUCUUUAAGUCGGGGGUGAAAUCCUGGAGCUCAACUCCAGAACUGCCUUCGAUACUGGAGAGCUCGAGUCCGGGAGAGGUGAGUGGAACUGCGAGUGUAGAGGUGAAAUUCGUAGAUAUUCGCAAGAACACCAGUGGCGAAGGCGGCUCACUGGCCCGGUACUGACGCUGAGGUGCGAAAGCUAGGGGAGCAAACAGG